GUUAAUGUAGCUUAACCUUAAAGCAAGGCACUGAAAAUGCCUAGAUGAAUUAAUCAAUUCCAUAAACA
rnacentral:tRNA from 1 species